AUACGUAGGGUGCAAGCGUUAAUCGGAAUUACUGGGCGUAAAGCGUGCGCAGGCGGUUUUGGAAGACAGUGGUGAAAUCCCCGGGCUCAACCUGGGAACUGCCAUUGUGACUGCAAGGCUGGAGUGCGGCAGAGGGGGAUGGAAUUCCGCGUGUAGCAGUGAAAUGCGUAGAUAUGCGGAGGAACACCGAUGGCGAAGGCAAUCCCCUGGGCCUGCACUGACGCUCAUGCACGAAAGCGUGGGGAGCAAACAGGAUUAGAUACCCUGGUAGUCCACGCCCUAAACGAUGUCAACUGGUUGUUGGGGAUUUAUUUUCUCAGUAACGAAGCUAACGCGUGAAGUUGACCGCCUGGGGAGUACGGCCGCAAGGUUAAAACUCAAAUGAAUUGACGGGG
rnacentral:rRNA from 1 species